rnacentral:rRNA from 1 species
GUGGGGAAUAUUGGGCAAUGGGCGAAAGCCUGACCCAGCAACGCCGCGUGAAGGAAGAAGGUCUUCGGAUCGUAAACUUCUAUCCUUGGUGAAGAUAAUGACGGUAGCCGAGAAGGGAGCCCCGGCUAACUACGUGCCAGCAGCCGCGGUAAUACGUAGGGGGCAAGCGUUGUCCGGAAUGAUUGGGCGUAAAGGGCGCGUAGGCGGCCUGGUAAGUCUGGAGUGAAAGUCCUGCUUUUAAGGUGUGAAUUGCUUUGGAUACUGUCGGGCUUGAGUGCAGGAGAGGUAAGUGGAAUUCCCGGUGUAGCGGUGAAAUGCGUAGAGAUCGGGAGGAACACCAGUGGCGAAGGCGACUUACUGGACUGUAACUGACGCUGAGGCGCGAAAGUGUGGGGAGCAAACAGGAUUAGAAACCCUGGUAGUCC